GAAAAAAGGGAAAGCAUGGGCCACUGGUACAUGGAGGUGUUCAAGUCCCACAGAACCGAGGUGGAUUGGGUGUUGAAGCACAGUGGUCCCAACAGUGCCGACAGCGCCAACGACGGCUUCGAGGACUCCCAUUUGGGUGCACAAAGGAAGAAAUUGUUCGGUUCUUCUCAGGGUUGGAAAUCGUGCCAAACGGGAUCACAUUGCCUGUGGACCACGAGGGCAAGAUUACAGGGAAGCAUUUGUGCAGUUUGCCUCCCAGGAGUUAGCUGAUAAAGCUCUAGGGAAGCGCAAGGAGAGGAUAGGGCACAAGUACAUCUAGGUGUUUUAAGAGCAGCCAGGAGGAAGUUAGGUCAUACUCAGAUCCCCCUCUGAAUUUCGUGUCCGUGCAGCGGCCAGGGCCCUAUGGCAGGCCCGGGACCGCCAGGAGUUAUAUUGGCAUUGUGAAGCAGGCAGGCCUGGGGAGGAUGCGGCCCGGUGCCUACAGCGCCGGCUAUGGGGGCUAUGAGGAGUACAGUGGCCUCAGCGAUGGUUAUGGCUUUACCACAGAUCUGUUCGGGAGAGACCUCAACUACUGUCUCUCCGGAAUGUAUGACCACAGAUACGGCGGUAGUGAGUUCACAGUGCAGAGCACCACAGGCCACUGUGUCCACAUGAGGGGUCUGCUGUACAAAGCGACCGAGAACGACAUUUACAACUUCUUCUCUCCUCUCAAUCCUGUGAGAGUCCAUAUUGAGAUAGGUCCAGAUGGAAGAGUGACGGGCGAAGAAGAUGUUGAGUUUGCUACUCAUGAAGAAGCUGUUGCAGCCAUGUCCAAAGACAGGGCCAACAUGCAACACAGAUACAUAGAACUCUUCUUGAAUUCGACAACAGGGGCCAGCAAUCGGGCAUAUAGCAGCCAGGUGAUGCAAGGCAUGGGGGUGUCUGCCGCCCAAGCCACUUACAGUGGCCUGGAGAGCCAGUAAGUGAGCAGCUGUUAUGGGGCCAGCUACAAUGGGCAGAACAGCAUGGGUGGAUAUGACUAAUUUUGUUAGGAACAUUUGAGUUAUUUCAAUAAAAUUUUACACAGGCAGCCAACAAGCAGUUAAGAGCAGCUAUAAUAGAGGAAGUUGUGGGACCCAUUUUGCACCAUGAGUUUGUGAAAUCUGGAUUGAAAAAAUUACCUCUUCAGUCUUUCUCAUGCCAAAUUUUCUUCUAGCAUGUGAUAAUAAGUAAACUAAAACUAUUUUCAGCUUUUCUUAAUUAACAUUUUGGUAGUAUACUUCAGAGUGAUGUUAUCUGAGUUUAAGUAGUUUAAGUAUGUUAAAUGUGGACCUUUUACACCACAUCACUGAACACACUGGGGAGAUGUGCUUUUUUGGAAAACUCAAAGGUGCUAGCUCCCUGAUUCAAAGAAAUAUUUCUCAUUUGUUCAUUCUAGUUUAUAUUUUCAUUUAAAAUCCUUUAGGUUAAGUUUAAGCUUUUUAAAAGUUAGUUUUGAGAAUUGAGACACAAUACUAAUACUGUAGGAAUUGGUGAGGCCUUGACUUAAAACUUUCUUUGUACUGUGAUUUCCUUUUGGGUGUAUUUUGCUAAGUGAAACUUGUUAAAUUUUUUGUUAACUAAAUUUUUUUCUUAAA